CACUCUCUUCUAUACCUAUUAUCCUUAGGUUUGAUCUUCUCAUUGAGUCCUGGAUUUCCUGUAUGUUUUGGACCAGUAGCUUUUUCUGCUUUACAUUAUCUUUGACAGUUGAGUCAAUGAUUUCUAUGGAAUCUUCUGCUCCCAAGAUUCUCUCUUCCAUCUCUUGUAUUCUGUUGGUGAAGCUUGUAUCUACAGCUCCUUGUCUUUUCUUUUGAUUUUCUAUUUCCAGGGUUGUUUCCAUGUGUUCUUUCUUGAUUGCUUCUAUUUCCAUUUUUAAUUCCUUCAACUGUUUGAUUGUGUUUUCCUGGAAUUCUUUCAGGGAUUUUUGCGAUUCCUCUCUGUAGGCUUCUACUUGUUCUCUAAGGGAGUUUUUAUGUCUUUCUUGAAGUCCUCCAGCAUCAUGAUCAAAUAUGAUUUUGAAACUAGAUCUUGCUUUUCUGGUGUGUUUGGAUAUUCCGUGUUUGCUUUGGUGGGAGAAUUGGGCUCCGAUGAUGCCAUGUAGUCUUGGUCUCUGUUGCUUGGGUUCCUGCGCUUGCCUCUCGCCAUCAGAUUAUCUCUAGUGUUACUUUGUUCUGCUAUUUCUGACCGUGGCUAGACUGUCCUAUAAGCCUGUGUGUCAGGAGUGCUGUAGACCUGUUUUCCUGUUUUCUUUCAGCCAGUUAUGGGGACAGAGUGUUCUGCUUUCGGGCGUGUAGUUUUUCCUCUCUACAGGUCUUCAGCUGUUCCUGUGGGCCUGUGUCUUGAGUUCACCAGGCAGGUUUCUUGCAGGGGAAAAGUUGGUCCUACCUGUCGUUCCAAGGCUCAAGUUUGCUCGUGGGGUACUGCCCAAGUCCUCUCCGCAGCGUCAGCAACCGGGAAGAUCUGCGCCGCUCUUUCCGGGAGCCUCCGUGCACCAGGGUUCCAGAUGACGUUUGGUGUUUUCCUCUGGCGUCUGGAUGUGCACAGAGUGCAGUCUCUUCUGGUGUCCCAGGCGUGUCCGCCUCUCUGAAGGUUUAGCUCUCCCUCCCACGGGAUUUGGGUGCAGAGAACUGUUUAUCCGGUCUGUUUCCUUCAGGUUCCGGCGGUGUCUCAGGCGCAGGGGUCCUGCCGCUCCUGGGCCCUCCCCUACGGGAACCCAGAGGCCUUAUACAGUUGCCUCUUGGGCCAGGGAUGUGGGCAGGGGUGGGCAGUGUUGGUGGUCUCCUCCGCUCUGCGGCCUCAGGAGUGCCCACCUGAUCAGGCGGUGAGGUCUCUCUCCCACGGGGUUUGGGAGCAGAGAGCUGCAGGGGACAGUCUUGAUAAUGAGUGAUGUCACUCACUGUAAGAAUUCCUGGACUUAGAAAGCAGGCUGAGUUAGGCACCAAGAGCAAGCCAGUGAGUAGCACCCCUCCACGGCCUCUGCAUCAGCUCCUGCCUCCAGGCCCCUGCCUUGAACUCCUGUUCUGACUCCCCUGGAUGAUGACAUAAGCCUUCCCCUGCUGAGUUGAUUUGACCGUGGUGUUUUAUCACAGCAAUAGAAUCCCUAACCAAGACCAGGGUAAUGCCUCCCAUCUACUCCUGGGCCAUCCUCCUCCAGCAGGUGUUUUGCUCGCAUGUAUGUCUGUGUACCUCAUGAGAACCUGUCUGUAAAACAUCUACAGCGUCGGGCGCCCACAUGGAUGGUGGAAGGUGCAGGUUGCCUCCUCUGAGUGGUCCUCUGAUUGCUACAUAUGUGUCAUUGCCUUAAGGCCACUUAUUGCUGUGAGGACAUACCACGACCAAGGCAGCUUUUAAAGGAAAUCACGUCAUUGCGGGCUGGCUUACAGUUUCAGAGGCUUUGUCCAUGACCGUGAUCAUCAUGGUGGGAUGAUCAGGGACACGCCUCCACCAAAGCCACACCUCCUAAUCCUUCCCAAACAGUUCCUUCAACUGGGACGAAGAAUUCAAACAUAGGAGUCUAUGGGGGGGUUGUUGGGGAUUUAGCUCAGUGGUAGAGCGCUUGCCUAGCAAGCGCAAGGCCCUGGGUUCGGUCCCCAGCUCUGGAAAAAAAAAAGGAGUCUCAUUUGAACCACCACAGCCAUGUCCACAACAAGACUGAAUAAAAUAGAAUCUUAAAAAAGAA